rnacentral:sRNA from 1 species
GCAGGUGAAUACAACGUUGAACACUGAACGUUGUGCUCCAUAAUUGUAGUUUUUCUCAUAUUGAGUUUUAUACAGAAUAAUUGCUCAUUAAUUAUGCCGAUACUUGUUUUAGUAUCGGCUAUU